UUCCUACAGAGGAAAAGGCUGGGAUAUUUAGGACUCCUCUGUUCUGUGUGGCUCACGCAGCAGCUCAGAAGACAGACAGCUGGUCAGUCAGCAUGCAGGUCGGUCUAAAAAGCAUGUGCUAGCUCUUGCCCAGAUGCUAAGGCAAACACAAGUGAACAUCGGUAUAAAGAAAAGUCGAAGUUAUAAUGAUGGGAAAUGCUGGGAAUAAAAGGAAACUGUGGCAGAGUCUAAGACACGAGGAGGAGCUGGAGGUGUUUCAACCCCAAUGAUAUUUUCUCUACGAGUCCAGACAACAAAUCUCACAACAUGGCUACGGAAGGAAACAUGACCUUCAACCCCUGUCCUAUUCCCACUCACUUUGUGCUUCAGUAUGUACUUCAUGAAUAUUAAACGGAAUUCACAAUGCGCACACCAAUUCAUCAAGUCCAAAAGAAGAUCCUACAACCACUAGGAGGAAAACAAUGUGCCAAAUGCUUCACCAACA